AACGAACGCUGGCGGCAUGCCUAACACAUGCAAGUCGAACGAACCCUUCGGGGUGAGUGGCGCACGGGUGCGUAACACGUGGGAACCUGCCCUUAGGUUCGGAAUAACAGCGAGAAAUUGCUGCUAAUACCGGAUAAUGUCUUCGGACCAAAGAUUUAUCGCCUUUGGAUGGGCCCGCGUAGGAUUAGCUAGUUGGUGAGGUAAAGGCUCACCAAGGCGACGAUCCUUAGCUGGUCUUAGAGGAUGAUCAGCCACACUGGGACUGAGACACGGCCCAGACUCCUACGGGAGGCAGCAGUGGGGAAUAUUGGACAAUGGGCGAAAGCCUGAUCCAGCAAUGCCGCGUGAGUGAUGAAGGCCUUAGGGUUGUAAAGCUCUUUUACUGGGGAUGAUAAUGACAGUACCCAGAGAAUAAGCCCCGGCUAACUCCGUGCCAGCAGCCGCGGUAA
rnacentral:rRNA from 1 species